rnacentral:rRNA from 1 species
GAUGAACGCUGGCGGCGUGCUUAACACAUGCAAGUCGAACGAUGAAGCCCAGCUUGCUGGGUGGAUUAGUGGCGAACGGGUGAGUAACACGUGAGUAACCUGCCCUUGACUCUGGGAUAAGCCUGGUAAACUGGGUCUAAUACUGGAUAUGACUUCUCAUCGCAUGGUGGGGGGUGGAAAGAUUUAUUGGUCUUGGAUGGACUCGCGGCCUAUCAGCUUGUUGGUGAGGUAAUGGCUCACCAAGGCGACGACGGGUAGCCGGCCUGAGAGGGUGACCGGCCACACUGGGACUGAGACACGGCCCAGACUCCUCCGGGAGGCAGCAGUGGGGAAUAUUGCACAAUGGGCGCAAGCCUGAUGCAGCGACGCCGCGUGAGGGAUGACGGCCUUCGGGUUGUAACCCUCUUUCAGUAGGGAAGAAGCGAGAGUGACGGUACCUGCAGAAGAAGCGCCGGCUAACUACGUG